rnacentral:rRNA from 1 species
UACGUAGGGCGCAAGCGUUAUCCGGAAUUAUUGGGCGUAAAGAGCUCGUAGGCGGUUGUCGCGUCUGCCGUGAAAGUCCGGGCUCAACUCCGGAUCUGCGGUGGGUACGGGCAGACUAGAGUGAUGUAGGGGAGACUGGAAUUCCUGGUGUAGCGGUGGAAUGCGCAGAUAUCAGGAGGAACACCGGUGGCGAAGGCGGAUCUCUGGGCCAUAACUGACGCUGAGGAGCGAAAGCAUGGGGAGCGAACAGG